CAAACGAGCACUCUUUAUUAAUAAACGAAUUCUUUUUAAGUACACCCAGAAAUUUUAUUUUGUCCAAAUUUGGGGUGCAGCUGGAGUAACCAAUCAAGCAUCAUGUUCAGCCAACUCCUCAUCAGGGCAUGCCUCCUCUUGGCCAUCAUGACCGCAGUCACGCACGCUUUCAUCAUCUACCGGUCGGCCCCAAGCUACCCGCCAUAUUAUGUCCGCCCAUCCGUGUACCAUACAGGAUUCGGUGGUCCCGUAGUCUACUACGGAGAUGGUUAUGAUUCGUAUGACUCCUUCAACUUUAAUUCGUAACCGGACAGCUGAUGUUUUUGCCAUUACUCCAGCCAUAUGCAGAACAACUGAUUCAAAUUGUUGCUUCUACAAUUAUUUGUGCAGACAGAAUUGGAAUGCUUUAGUUGACAUGAUAAGUGUACAGAACUCGACUAAAUGGGAAUCAAAUAUGUUUGAUAGAUCUGGACGAAUCUCAAGUGUUAUCUUAAGACAAUAUUUUUAUUUAAUAUACCCUAUUUUCUGCGUUUUUUUAAUUGGUCUUGAUAAUAAGGCUGUUGCUUUUUUGUGAAACAUAAGCAUGAAUGAAUUCUGCAUGAACUGAUAGCCAUGCAAAGGAUAUAUGUUUUACGUGUAUAUUUGAUAGAAUUUGUUUGUUUAAAAACUUCAACCAGCGCUCAUUCUAAAAUAUUAUUUUUAUAAAUUGUAUCACAUUCCAUAUGAAUUGCCAUAUUUUUUACUGUUUUCGAUUUCAUAAUUUCGAGGUAAUUAUGAAAAAUCACACUGAAUAGCACGAAUAUAUUUCUUCCUUGCUUAUUAUAUUUAUAUAUGAUUUCCAGUGACGAGUUUUCCUAGUAAAUAAGUAAAUAAUUCAAAUAAGCGGUCACACAUCCUCUGUUGAUAUUCAUACACGCCUGUUUUUAUUAACAUGUUUGACACGCGCGAUUACGCGUCAACGGGGCUGAUGUAUCAGGUUGAAUAUAAACCAUUUUAUUAACAUAUUUAAUCAUCUUAUUAUCUGCUUGCUAACAUGCCAUAUAUUUGUUUUGAACGCAUUACUUCCAUU